UCUCCUUACUAAAAAACUACACAUUCUCUAAAAAUCACUUUUCAAAACUCUAUUUUUCAAAAUAAUGACAUCAAACAUGGACUAAUGAUGUUAUGGAGUAAUUGUCCAAAUGGUAACUAAAUUUUGCAAAAAAAUUUCAAAUGAUCACUGAACUUUAGAAAUCACCUAAAUGGUCACUGAACUUUGCAAAAAGUUUCUACGAGAUUACUGAAUUUUAAAAAUCACCUAAAUAAAAACUUUUUACAAAGUUCAAUGAUCUCGUGAAAUUUUUUUGCAAAGUUCAGUAACCAUUUAAGUAAUUUUUCAAGUUCAGCGACCCAUUAAAAACUUUUUACAAAGUUCAGUGACCAUUUGAGCAAUUCACUAGAUGUUAUGUAGAGCCAACUUAUAAGACACUCUUUAUCCCACUUCAUUUGUUUCACAACGAAUCUCAUAGAAAUAUAGAAUGCACUAUAUGAAUAACAUGUACUUUGCAGCUCAUUCUUAAUAAUAAUUGAUUAGCCUUAAAGCACAUAAUAACUCAAUACUCUAAAAACAUUGUCCAUGUCUUCGUAAAGGGACCGUCCCUCUGUUUACCUCUCUAACAAAGUGAUAUUUUCCUCUAACAAAGGAAUAUAUUGGAAGCUGUCCAUUAGUUGCUAAUUUUCACAAGAGUUCCUCCCAUAGCGAACCUGCAAAACAUGCAAACUGAAGUGAAAGUGCAUUAGCAGAACAGGAGACACCAAGCAGGAAGAGAAAGAAAUACAAGAUUUGUUGUGGGGAAAGGUAGCAUGGAAAAAAGAGAGAAACGACUGAGUGAUACUUCAGUAAAUUCAACUGGAGACUUUUCAAAUAUAGAUUGAGGAUCUGUAUUUGCUAUUAUAAGGGUGUAAUAUCUGAGAAUCUUGGCAAAUUAAAAAUGACAACUAAGCCAGUACAAAGAUUUUCAAAGCUAUGUAAAUCUCUAUAAGAACAGAUGUAUGUUUCUGAGAAUAUAAGCAAAUUUAGGAAAUCAAGAAUUCAUUGAUUAACCCACAAUGCUUAAUAAUUGAUUUUAAGACAAAAUUAUUGAUUCCCACGGGUAUUGAAAUUGGACUGAGUGAAAAACUCCUAGUAAAUUUCCUUAAUUAGCUAUUGAAAAACAACAAAAGCCCUUCUCUUGUUUAGAUAAACAAAAAUAGCUCUAACUAUAGAGAAUUAUAAAGGCAGCUUAAAAUAAUAAACUUAAAUCAAAGCAACGCGAUUUAGCCCUCGCAAAGACUAAACCACAAAUCACUUGGAUUGCAUCACAAUUCACAAAUACCAUUGUAGUACUUCUAGCCAAAUUUAUCACAUGUAAUGAAGAAAAUAACAAUAGUACCAUGAACAACAACUUGAACUUGUCCUAAUUAACUGUACCAUCAUUCACUGAACCUCCAAUCACAGCAAGGCAAGAGGCUCACCCAAGAAUGAUGCUGUCAAUAUUCCUGAUUUUUACGAGAGACUUGCUUACAUGACUAACAAGUCCCUGGCCUUUAAGGAAUCAGGUUCUAUAAUUAAUGAAGGUUAGUUGGGAGUCCAGAAGAAUUCCUAACCAGUUAGAGACAAUUUCAGUGUCUAAUUCUUUUGGUUCGAAAUAGAUAUUUACCCACCAAAACUGUGGGGGGGUGUAGACAUGAUUGAGAAUAUGAAUUUCAGAUUCUUAUCGUCUUCUCUAUAUACAAGCAACAAUCAUUCAAAUAAACAAUAUGUAGUUGACAAAGACUUAAAGCACUCAACACAUAUGCAAGAAUCCAAAACUGCACGAUAGCAAGACCAACUUAAUAAAUCCAAGAUAUAGGCAUUUAACAAAACAGUAAAGGUGACAGAGAUAACUAAUACUUCAAACCAUUGACCAUUCUUACAAAUCUUCUAAAGGUGCAUUUAGACAAAAGUGAACGGUAUAGGCACACAAGAACUAGAAUUUGGAAAGACAAGAGAACGAAAUACAUAAUUCAUGUGAUUUUUCCAAUUCCAAGAUUGUAAUUUUUAAUACUAGGAAAGACAAGGUAACAAUUUAAGAUAUUAAUAAAACCCAUUUUAUGGAUCAAUAGAAAAAUGAUAGAGAAGUAGAGUAAGCAUAUGAUCUGGAAACCCAUUUUAUGAAUCAAUAGCAAAAUGACAGAGAAGUUGAGUAAGUAUAUGAUCUGGAAAACAAAUCAAUUUUCAAGUUUAAUAAGUACAAAAACUGAGCUAAAAGAAACACGAUUUUAUCCUCCAGGAUAGACCAAUUUCUAUAUUAUUCGUCAAUCUAUGUCAUGGAGAACAGAACCAUCAUCAGAAGAAGCAUAUAUUAAACCAUAUAUAGGGUCGGGUCGGCCCAGCGUAGUGGGAAAAGGAGAAUAGAAUCUCACUUCAGGAGGAUAGGUGAAAAGGAUAGAAUUCUUCUCCAUUAUUGAGCUGAAUAACAUAUAGUUGCUCUGUCAAAGAUCGAACAAACAAAUACCUUUUCAAACACGGACACAUCAAUCAUUAAAUGACCAAAUUUCUCAAACAAAAAAUUCUAAACAGCGUAAAAUAUCAGCAAAUCAACCCCAAAAAAAAUUGUCCAAGCUAAAAUUAGCUCGAAAACGAACAAACUAAACCAAAAAAUUAAUUAAAUUCGAAAAAUAAAUAUAAGAAGAUAGACACGUUAUCUCAGUGACGGACUCAUCGACGAGGUGUUCAAUGGAGUGUCGUUUCGUAGAUUUCACCCUUAGUUUCUGCAUUUUCCUCUCACGAAAUUUGAAAAUGAGAUUCCUG
rnacentral:lncRNA from 1 species